rnacentral:rRNA from 1 species
UACGUAGGGUGCGAGCGUUAAUCGGAAUUACUGGGCGUAAAGCGUACGCAGGCGGCUGCGCAAGACAGGUGUGAAAUCCCCGGGCUUAACCUGGGAACUGCAUUUGUGACUGCGCAGCUAAAGUUUGUCAGAGGGGGGUGGAAUUCCACGUGUAGCAGUGAAAUGCGUAGAGAUGUGGAGGAACACCGAUGGCGAAGGCAGCCCCCUGGGACCUGACUGACGCUCAUGUACGAAAGCGUGGGGAGCAAACAGG